AGUGAACCCUGGCGGCGUGCUUAAUACAUGCAAGUCGAACGAUGAAGUCCUAGCUUGCUAGGAUGGAUUAGUGGCGCACGGGUGAGUAAUAUAUAGUUAAUCUGCCUUGCACUGAGGAACAACAGUUGGAAACGAUUGCUAAUACCUCAUACUCCAACUUUACAUAAGUUAAGUUGGGAAAGUCUUUUCGGUGCAAGAUGAGACUAUAUCGUAUCAGCUAGUUGGUAAGGUAAUGGCUUACCAAGGCUAUGACGCGUAACUGGUCUGAGAGGAUGAUCAGUCACAUUGGAACUGAGACACGGUCCAAACUCCUACGGGAGGCAGCAGUAAGGAAUAUUGUGCAAUGGGGGAAACCCUGACGCAGCAACGCCGCGUGGAGGAUGACACUUUUCGGAGCGUAAACUCCUUUUGUUAGGGAAGAAUAAUGACGGUACCUAACGAAUAAGCACCGGCUAACUCCGUG
rnacentral:rRNA from 1 species